AACGCACAUUGCGCCCCUUGGUAUUCCGAGGGGCGUGCCUGUUCGAGCGUCAUGUUCACCCUUCAAGCUCUGCUUGGUGUUGGGGCGUGCUGGAAACGGCAGCCCUUAAAAUCAGUGGCAGCGAUCAUUCGGCUCUAAGCGUAGUACUUCUUCUCGCUAUAGCGUCGCGUGAUCGCGCGCCAAAACCCCUAAUUUUUCAUGAUUGACCUCGGAUCAGGUAGGGAUACCCGCUGAACUUAA
rnacentral:misc_RNA from 1 species